rnacentral:tRNA from 1 species
GAGAAAUGGCACAGUGGUUAGAGCACUGGCUGCUCUUCCAGAGGAUCUGGGUUCGAGUCCCAGCUCA